CCUACGGGAGGCAGCAGUGAGGAAUAUUGGUCAAUGGGCGCAAGCCUGAACCAGCCAAGCCGCGUGCAGGAAGACGGCUCUAUGGAUUGUAAACCUCUUUUGUAGGGGAGCAAACGACGCCACGCGUGGCGUUCUGAGAGUAUCCGAAGAAAAAGCAUCGGCUAACUCCGUGCCAGCAGCCGCGGUAAUACGGAGGAUGCCAGCGUUAUCCGGAUUUAUUGGGUUUAAAGGGUGCGCAGGCGGGAGAAUAAGUCAGGCGGUAAAUCGCGAGGCUCAACCCCUUUGUUGCCUUUGAGACUGUUUGUCUUGAGAGUAGGAGCGGUAGGCGGAAUGCGUGGUGUAGCGGUGAAAUGCAUAGAUAUCACGCAGAACACCGAUUGCGAAGGCAGCUUACCGG
rnacentral:rRNA from 1 species